rnacentral:tRNA from 1 species
AUUUAUAUAAUAUAAAAAUUAUCUUUGACUUCCAAUCAAAAAAUCUACCCUGUAGUAUAAAUA